ensembl:lncRNA
CGGGAAGCGAGCACGGGGAGGUGAGGCCCCGGCGUUGACCUCGGAGGGGUUUGGGGCUGGGGUCGAAGGUCGCGAGCGCUAACGGUCUCCUCUGAACGACCGCAGGGUGGGCGGCGUCCUCGUGGGCCAGGAAGCGGAUCGGGGACACUGGGGCGCGCCUGCCAGGACCCCUCCCCCGGAAGCCCCCUGAGGCGAGGUCAAGGGUCAAAAAGUAGCCCAAAGUGGCCAAUUCGAGGCAAAAAGCCAUCACUAGGCAUCGCUGGGGCCGGAGCGGGAGAGAGGUGCUCCCGACGGUCUCUAUCCUGAAGAGGUCAAGAGCCAAAGCUCAGAACAGAGCCGGGGCGGUGCCGGCCAAGUGCUUUGGGUGAAAAACGGAAAGAAUUGGCAAAAUACCGCUUGAUGAAGUUGAAAAUACCUCUUGUCCCUGAAUCUUCCGCCGUUCUGCUUUUCAGCGCUAGAUUAUUGUUUUGCCGGAACAAACUGCCUGUCUUGUGUGAAGCUCUUGAUUCGCAGAUGGCCAGCAAGCCUUGAUCAAAACGUGUGGUUUAGCCCCAGAUUCCUUUUGAGAAGGCGAUCGUAAAGAUCAGAGCAGAAACCGGUGAAAUGGAAUAGAAAAGAAUAAAGAAAAUCCAUGAAACCAAUGAUUGUUCUUUGAAAAGAUCAAAAACGUCGAUAAAAAAGAAAAAGUCUAGCCAGAUGGACCAAGAAAAAAAAAAAAGACGACACGUGAGAAAUGAGAGAAGGACUAAACACGACAGACCCUACAGAUGUUAAAAGAUUCAGGUACUAGGAACAGCUGGAUGCAAAUAAAUACAUCCUGGUUGAAAUGGACCAACACCUUGAAAUAAACACCUGAAAUAAAGGCUCGCUCAAGAAGAAAUAGAUUAGGGCUGGCCAGGUGGUGUGGUGGUUAAGUUUACCCGGUCCGCUUGGGCUUCCUGGGGUUCACCAGUUCGGAUCCUGGGUGCGAACCUACACACUGCUCAUCAAGCCAUGCUGUGGUGGCAUCCCACAUAGAAGAACUAGAAGGACUUAGAAGCAGGAUCUACGACUACGUAAUGGGGCUUUGGGGAGAAAAAAAAAAUUAAGGAAGCAAUAGAUCAUCUGCAUAGUUUUACGUCUAUUCAGGAAAUUAAAUCUGUACAGAAAAACCUUUCUACAAAGAUAAUUAGGGCCCAGAUGUCUCAUUGGUGAAUUUCCAUCAAACAUCUCAGAAAGGAAUAACGUCUGUUCUAGACAAUAUCUCCCAGAAAACAGAAGAGGAGGGCACACUGCCCAACUUAAAUUCCUUUUGGUAUCUUCCGUGUUUUUGACCACUGGCUUACACCCAAUUUUCUUGGAAUCUGGGGGUGCGUUUGACAAUCUUAGUGUACGUAGGCCCCGCUAUCCUUCACAGAGCCCACACCCCUCUCCUGAGGGUCAGGACACAUGGAAGGGACUUGGGAAAUGUUUGGUGACCAUUACAGAAAGAGUUCUUGAAGGUGAAAUCUCGACUCAGAUGCCGCCUCCUCCGAGAAGCCCUCCUGGUCAUUCUCUGGAACACUUGUCACCAUCAGAAAUUGUGUCGUUUAUAUAUUUCUUUAUGUGUUUUUCUUCUGUCUCUGGCAGUAGACUGGAAGGUCUCUGGGGCUGGGGUGGGUCUGUCUUGGACACUGCUGCAUCCUCAGCAAUGAGAGCUGUGCUGUCCAGCACAGCAGCCACUGUCUAGAUGUGGCCCUUCAGCUCUUGUAAUGUGGCUGCCCAAAUUGAGAUGUGCUGGGAGUGUAAACUACACACUGGAUUUUGAAGGUUUAGCAUGAAAAAAAACACAUAUAUGUAGUAUCUCAAUAAUUUACAUUGAUUGUGUGUUGCAAUGAUAUAAUCGGAUAUGUUAGGUUAAAACAAAUAUGUUAUUAGAAUUAACCACUUCGUAACCGCUAGGACGGCUAUAAUAAAAAUACUGAGCAAUAACAAGUAUUGGCGAGGAUGUGGGGAAACUGGAACUCUCAUACAGACGGUGCAGCCACUUUGGAAAAAAAUUCAAAAGGUUGAACAUAAUGAUUCCACACGGCCAGCAAUUCUGCUCCCAGGUUUAUGCCCAAGAGAAAUGGAAACUCGCUUCCACUCAAAAACUUGUACACAAAUGUUCACAGCAACUAGAUUCAUAGUAGCCAGAAAGUGGAGACAACUGAAAUGUGCAUCGAAAGAAGAAUGGAUCCACACAAUUGUCCACCCACACGCUGGAAUGUGAUGCAGCCGUGAAGAGGAGCGAGGCCCUGACACGGCUGCACGUGGACGGACCUGCACACACGACGCUCAGGGAGAGAAGCAGAGACGGAAGGACACACGGUGUGUGACCCCAUUGACGUGAAACGUCCAGAACAGGCAGAUCCACAGACAGAGAGCGGGCUCGUGGGGGCCAGGGGCUGAGGCUUGCAGAAGGGAAGCCACGUGCCCAGGUCCCGGGUGGAGCCAAGUGCCCAGCCUGGGAGCCCCCGGGAGCCUUGUGAGGUUCUAGCACCGACUGCUCCGGUGAUGGGGGCCUUGGGGCUGCCCAGCUGUCCUGCUCAGUAGUGUUCAUAACAAGCAUCAAACCCAGGCCAGGCCAGCACGGGACCAGAUUUUGGGGACCUUCCCAGCAUCACGGGGCCUGAGACCCCCAUGGGGGUGCUCUAAGCCUCUCCAGAGACACUCUCUCUGGCCCCUGCCCUUUGCCUAACAGAAAUCCUCAGUGGAGGGGUCUCGGCCUCUCCCUUCCCAUUUCUCUGGAUGGGGAUUAGCAACACCAUACGUCGUCAGAUACAAGAGGCCAUGGCGGUGACAUGUACGGUCUCCUUAUGAACCAUCACGGAAGGAAGAGACUCGGAGCCAGCGAUGCCGCUCUGGAUCGGAAGAGGCAGGCUGACCUCAGGGGCGGUAAACAGAUGGAUGGGAAUAACGGAGCAGCGCUUACCGGAAGCAGGCGCCUGGCAUGGGGAAGCCCGACCAGCAAGCCUCUCUCCCCUGGGACCUUGGGAGCCAGAGACAUGUGGCAGCCAGCUGGACGCACAGCCAGGCCAGUGCAGAAGUGAAAUUCCAGGACACCAUUGGGCGUGAGCCAGCCCUCAUUCUACGUCUGGGGAAACUGAGGCUUGGGAGAAUUGGAGGCGGGCAGGGAUGAGGGACUCACCGUCUCCGUGUGGCCAGGCCGCUGUGCCCUGACUGCAUGUGGUGGUCUGGAGCGUGUGGCCCUGGGCCAGUGGCCAUUUUGCUCCAGUCCCAUUGUCCUCUCGUCUUCUCACCCCAGGGCCUUGGCACUUGCCGUGCCCGCUGCCUGGAACACUUCACUUCGAGUCCACCUAACUCCCUCCUUCUCUCAUGACGGUUGCAGCUCAGUUCCCCCCCCCC